AUUGAACGCUGGCGGCAGGCCUAACACAUGCAAGUCGAGCGGAGCGGCGGACGGGUGAGUAAUGCCUAGGAAUCGGCCUGGUAGUGGGGGAUAACGUCCGGAAACGGGCGCUAAUACCGCAUACUAUCAGAUGAGCCUAGGUGGGAUUAGCUAGUUGGAGGUGUUAAGGCCUACCAAGGCGACGAUCCGUAACUGGUCUGAGAGGAUGAUCAGUCACACUGGAGCUGAGAGACGGUCCGGACUCCUACGGGAGGCAGCCGUUGGGAAUAGUGGACAAUGGGCGAAAGCCUUCUCCAUCCAUGCCGCGUGUGUGAAGAAGGUCUUCGGAUUGUAAAGCACUGUAAGUUGGGAGGCGUUACCACCAGAAUAAGCACCUGCUAACUUCGUGCCAGCAGCCGCGGUAAUAC
rnacentral:rRNA from 1 species